GACACUGGCUUGUGGCUCUGGGCUGGGGCUGGGGCUGGCGGCCGGCAGCCAAGCGUCUGGCGGAACCGGGAUCUCUUCCGCGGUUUAGCCGGAUGACUGAAAUGAACUUUUUCUACACCCUUGUGUAACAGUGGUCUGCCUAAAGAAGGGACUAAGAAUUAGUGAGAAAGAUUCCUGACAGCAGCGCUCUUCCCCGGCAAACAUGGUAACAUGACUGCAACCUUGAAGAACCUUGUAGAGAGUGGCUUCCACCUGGGUAAAAUGCUCAACGUGCAUUACGAAAUUAUGAAAAUGGAGGCUCUGGAGUAGGUAGAGAGAUCACUACAGGAGAGGAAGGCUAGCGAAUGGGGAGCUGCCAGAAGAGGAAGAUGAACUUUGUCAGUUGCAGCCACAUGCCCUGGCCUGCCUACCUGUCCUUGACCUGUGACAAUCUUCCAUCAUUGAUCUCCUGUUCUGACUCCUGGUCUCCACGUCACUGUGAUACCAUGAAGAGAGAGCUCUGCUCCAACUCACCCUCCUCGCCACGUGUAGUCUCAAUUCUGGUCCACAACAACGAAUACCAACUAAUGCUGAAUGAAUACUGCAAAGAGGGAUAAGACAGGAGUUGUGCUAAAGAAGGUACACUCUGACCACACAACAAUCACAGAGAAGAUGGACAAAACCACGGCAAGAAUCCUGUGAAACCAUGGGCGCA